CCUACGGGUGGCAGCAGUGAGGAAUAUUGGUCAAUGGCCGGAAGGCUGACCCAGCCAAGCCGCGUGAAGGACGAAGGUGCCAAGCAUUUUAAACUUCUUUUGUCAAGGGACAAAAUCAGGCUCGAGAGCCUGACCGAGGGUACUUGAAGAAAAAGCAUCGGCUAACUCGGGGCCAGCAGCCGCGGUAAUACGGAGGAUGCGAGCGUUAUCCGGAUUUAUUGGGUUGAAAGGGUGCGUAGGGGGACUGUUAAGUCACCGGUAAAAUCCCGGGGCUCAACCCCGGCGAGCCGUUGAAACUGGGUGUCUUGAGAUGUCGAGAGGUAUGCGGAAUGCGCAGUGUAGCGGUGAAAUGCUUAGAUAUUGCGCAGAACUCCGAUUGCGAAGGCAGCAUACCGGCGGCGAUCUGACGCUGAGGCACGAAAGCGUGGGUAUCGAACAGGAUUAGAUACCCUGGUAGUC
rnacentral:rRNA from 1 species